AACGAACGCUGGCGGCAUGCCUAACACAUGCAAGUCGAACGAGACCUUCGGGUCUAGUGGCGCACGGGUGCGUAACGCGUGGGAACCUGCCUUUAGGUUCGGAAUAACUCAGAGAAAUUUGAGCUAAUACCGGAUAAUGUCUUCGGACCAAAGAUUUAUCGCCUUUAGAUGGGCCCGCGUUGGAUUAGCUAGUUGGUGGGGUAAAGGCCUACCAAGGCGACGAUCCAUAGCCGGUCUGAGAGGAUGAUCAGCCACACUGGGACUGAGACACGGCCCAGACUCCUACGGGAGGCAGCAGUGGGGAAUAUUGGACAAAUGGGCGAAAGCCUGAUCCAGCAAUGCCGCGUGAGUGAUGAAGGCC
rnacentral:rRNA from 1 species